GAGUAGCUGGGACUGCAGGCGCCCGCCACCAUGCCUGGCUAAUUUUUUGUAUGUUUAGUAGAGACGGGGUUUCACCGUGUUAGCCAGGAUGGUCUCUAUCUCCUGACCUUGUGAUCUGCCUGCCUCGGCCUCCCGAAGUGCCGGGAUUACAAGCGUGAGCCACCAUUCCCGGCCCAAAGAGGAGAAGAAGUAUGAAGUGCUUGCUUGGACCUUUCUACUGUGCUUAUUAUUCUGUCUUCUCCUCAUGGCAAAUGCUUCCUGUCCUUGAACAUCAGACUUCAAGUUCUUCAGUUUUGGGACUUGGACUGGCCCCUUGCUCCUCAGCUUCCCAAUGGCCUACUGUGGGACCUUGUGAUCAUGCUGGAGUGCAAUCUCGGCUCACUGCAGCCUUGACCUCCCGGGCUCGAGCAGUCCUCCCACCUCAGCCUCGCAAAUAGUUGGGACCACAGAUAUGCACCACCACGUCAGCCUAAUUUUUGUAUUUUUAGUAGAGACAGAGUGUCACCAUGUUGCUCAGGCUGGUCUGCUGGGCUCAAGCAAUCCGCACAACUCCACCUCCCAAAGUGCUAGGAUUACAGGCUAAGCCACCGAGCCAUUUUAUACAAUAUUUUAUGCAUCUUUAGUUAAAGAGUUAAAAGUUUCUUUAAGAUCUUUGAAAUUAUUUUAAAAUACUGAUCACUGUUGUUUUUUUCCACCAGUUUCUCAAUUCUUAAAUUCUAUGUUCUUUUAAAUAAAAUUUUGACACGCUGAAAUUUAA
rnacentral:lncRNA from 1 species